rnacentral:rRNA from 1 species
UAGGGCUACACACGUGCUACAAUGGCAGGUAUAACGCGUUGCCAACUCGCGAGAGUGCGCUAAUCGCUAAAAGCCUGUCCCAGUUCAGAUUGUAGUCUGCAACUCGACUACAUGAAGUUGGAAUCGCUAGUAAUCGCGUAUCAGCAACGACGCGGUGAAUACGUUCCCGGGCCUUGCACACACCGCCCGUCACACCAUGGGAG